AUUGAACUUCGUUUGUAGCGGCAUCCUUUUAUGAAGCGCAGCGCAAUAAAAGAUACAGCGUAUAGCAUGACCCGUA
rnacentral:sRNA from 1 species